GACAGAGGGGGCAAGCGUUGCUCGGAAUUACUGGGCGUAAAGGGCGCGUAGGCGGGAUGGCAAGUCGGUCGUGAAAUCCCUCGGCUCAACUGAGGAUCGUCGAUCGAUACUGCCGUUCUUGAGGAUUGCAGAGGAGACUGGAAUUCCCGGUGUAGCGGUGAAAUGUGUAGAUAUCUGGAGGAAUACCGGUGGCGAAGGCGGCAUCCUGGACCGACAUUGACGCUGAACGGCGAAAGCUAGGGGAGCAAACGGG
rnacentral:rRNA from 1 species